AGUGAACGCUGGCGGUAGGCCUAACACAUGCCAGUCGAACGGAAGCACAGUAAGCUCUCGCUCUUACGGUUGGCGGGUGACGGACGGGUAAGGCAUACAUCGGAUUCUACUUUUUCUUGGAGAAUAACGUAAGACAACUUACGCUACUACAUCAUAUAUCCUACCGCUUGAAGCAGUGGUUCUUCGCACCUUUCCCGUUUCAUUUAGCUGGUGUCGCAUUAGCUAGUUGGCUAGGUAAAGGCCCACCAAGGCGACGAUGCGUAGCUGAUCUGAGAGGAUGAUCGGCCACACUGGAACUGAGACACGGUCCAGACUCCUACGGGAGGCAGCAGUAGGGAAUCUUGGGCAAUGGGCGAAAGCCUGAUGGAGCAACGCCGCGUGGGUGAAGAAGGUCUUCGGGUCGUAAAGCUCUGUUGUUGGGAAAGAAAAGAAGUGGGAUAAUACACCGCUGUUCUGACGGUACCCAAAGAAUAAGCACCGGCUAACUACGUG
rnacentral:rRNA from 1 species